GACGAACGCGUGGCGGCGUGCCUAACACAUGCAAGUCGAGCGGUUCAAUGUCCGGCACUGAGUAUUUGGACAGACAAAUACUGAGUGCUGGAUAUUGGAUAGCGGCGGACGGGUGAGUAACGCGUGGGCAACCUACCUCUAACUGGGGGAUAACACAGGGAAACCUGUGCUAAUACCGCAUAACAUAUUGAAAGGGCAUCCUUUUAAUAUCAAAGGAGAAAUCCGGUGAGAGAUGGGCCCGCGUCCAAUUAGCUAGUUGGUGAGGUAAAGGCUCACCAAGGCGACGAUUGGUAGCCGAACUGAGAGGUUGAUCGGCCACAUUGGGACUGAGACACGGCCCAGACUCCUACGGGAGGCAGCAGUGGGGGAUAUUGCGCAAUGGGGGGGAACCCUGACGCAGCAACGCCGCGUGAAGGAUGAAGGUUUUCGGAUUGUAAACUUCUUUGAUGAGGGACGAAAAAAAAUGACGGUACCUCAAAAACAAGCCACGGCUAACUACGUG
rnacentral:rRNA from 1 species